rnacentral:rRNA from 1 species
UACGAAGGGGGCUAGCGUUGCUCGGAAUCACUGGGCGUAAAGCGCACGUAGGCGGCUUUUUAAGUCAGGGGUGAAAUCCUGGAGCUCAACUCCAGAACUGCCUUUGAUACUGGGAAGCUUGAGUCCGGGAGAGGUGAGUGGAAUUCCCGGUGUAGCGGUGAAAUGCGCAGAUAUCGGGAAGAACACCCGUGGCGAAGGCGGCUCUCUGGGACGGUACUGACGCUGAGACGCGAAAGCGUGGGGAGCGAACAGG